GUCCGGCCAGCCGAGUACAAGGGCUGCCAGGAGCUCGCCCAGGCAGCCCAGCAGCAGCAAAGGACAAGUGUGGAUGGGAACUGGGGCUGGGCCAUGCUGGGCUGUGCUGCGGGGAGAGCAUCCCAGGGCAGAGGGAAGAGCUGGGAAGGGAAGAGUUUCCUAGAAGCCGGAGACAUUAUAACUGGGGUAAGGUGGUGUGAUCUGAAGACGGGAAGCACGAAGGGCAAGGGGGAUGCCAAGAUGCGAAGGACAAGUGAAGCCUCCAGUUGGAAGAAGCGAGCCCAGAGUUCCAAGGACAGUCAUGCAGGAGACAGGAAGAGUGUUCCUGACCAGGACCGGUCAAAGAGGUCAAUAAGUAUGAAGAGAAACAAUGGAUGAAGAUGAAGCCGGCUGGUCAUGGGGCAGGUUAGGGGGAGGUGGCACCCAGUUUUCCUGACCCCCAACUCGGAAUCUCCAGGCACAAGACCUGGCCACAGACGCUCUCACCUGUGAAGUUCUCGAGGCAUCUGAUUGGACCGACACCAGGUUAAAGGUGACAAAUAAAAAUGAAUGAUCAGCACUUCCUUCUCGCCACCAGCCAUGAGAUGCACGAACGUUCUAGUUUCUAGGUAACUACAAAUACUCUGCCAGACUUAUAGGAAAAGCAGUUUGUGUCCUCUGACCUGGAGACUGUGGAAGCCAUAGCUCUGGAGCUGGGAAAACCUGGCCCAGGGAGGGGGGGAUCCCCCCAACCCCACCUCUCAACCCCUGGGACACAAGCACCUUCCAAAAGAUUUAUUUUAAUCCUUUAGGACACAAAUAAGACCACUUUGUUGCGAGAAAAAAAAUCACAGGUAAACCUUCCUUCCCCCACCCAAAGGUAAU